CCCUUAGAUGUUCUGGGCCGCACGCGCGCUACACUGAUGAAUGCAACGAGCUCUACCCUUGACCGAAAGGCCCGGGUAAACUUGUGAAACUUCAUCGUGAUGGGGAUAGAUUAUUGCAAUUAUUAACCUUCAACGAGGAAUUCCUAGUAAGCGCGAGUCAUCAGCUCGCGUUGAUUACGUCCCUGCCCUUUGUACACACCGCCCGUCGCUCCUACCGAUUGAAUGGUCCGGUGAAAUCUUCGGAUUGCUGACCAAGAUCCAGCAAUGGAGCUUGGUUGCGAGAAGUUGAUUAAACCUUAUUAUUUAGAGGAAGGAGAAGUCGUAACA
rnacentral:rRNA from 1 species